rnacentral:rRNA from 1 species
CCUACGGGAGGCAGCAGUUAGGAAUAUUGGACAAUGGGCGAAAGCCUGAUCCAGCCAUGCCGCGUGUGUGAUGAAGGCCCUAGGGUUGUAAAGCACUUUCGUUGGGGAUGAUAAUGACCGUACCCAAAGAAGAAGCACCGGCUAACUUCGUGCCAGCAGCCGCGGUAAU